GAAUGGCAAAAAUUCAUUUUUUAACCUUAAAAGGAAUGGCCCAGGAUGAAUAUAGUAACUCAUCUCAAAACCAGCCAUAGCAUGAAAAAGAAAACAAAAGUUAUAAAUUAGAACUACUUUGGUCAGUAACCAUCAAAUACAACCUAACAACAUACCAGUUAAAGCAGUCAGAGAUAUGGGCAAAAGAGUAAUGAAGAAUAUAUACCUUUUCAAAAUGAGGCUAGUCCAAUCCCAUACAUCUAGCAUAUGAAUAAAUUACAUUUGAAACCCUCAAUAGAAGUACUGUAUUUUAAAGAACAAAAGAGGCAGCUUCAGGCUAUUUUUCAUAAUUUUUCUAAUUCAUUGUUUUAAUGGAAUAGGAGAGUUUUGUGGGACUGAAAGGAAAAAAAAAAAAAGAAGAAGCCCUCUCUGAUGAGCUCUGAAUUUGCAAAUAGUAACUGCCACCUGAAUAAAGUACAGUACUUUGAAUGAUGGUGAUUUGUCAAUGAUGCAUUUUAAAUCAAUGUAGCUCUAAAAGAAGCCCGAAGAAUGAGCUGAAUCCAAUGAAGGAAAGCAAAGGUUAACUGAGUUAUCCAGUAGCAUCUUCUGUCAGGAAAAAAAAAAAAAAGAUAAAAGCCUCUAGACUUCAUGGGGAAAGAUGACUAUACCACACGAGUUCUAAGCCACAUGAUCAGGACAAGUGAGUUACAAUACAGAAAAAGACUAAGUGCCAGUAAUGACAGUGAUGGUUACACAUGGUAUAGCAGCUCCAGAUUUUACAUCCCCACAACUUCAAGGCCAAUGAAAGAAAGAAAGAAAGAAAGAAAGAAAGAAAGAAAGAAAGAAAGAAAGAAAGAAAGAAAGAAAGAAAGAAAGAAAGAAAGAACCAAAACUCUGAUUUGUUUCCAGAUAUUUCAGCAAUAUCUCAUUGACUGUGAUUAGCUCACAUACCCAUCCCUAAACCUCUCACUGUCCUGGGAAAUUAUAUGCCGUGACACAUCACAAAGUCAUCCCUGGAGUCUGGAGGGUGAUCAGCCCAACUGAAGAAGCCUGGAAGCUAAAACAGAGUGAGAUAAUACUCUCUCAGAAAGAAGUCUGGCCAAGGAUUUUUUUUUUUUUUUGGUGAGUAAAUUUUGGGGGCAAAAAUAAACCGAUGUCCCCAGCACUUUAUCAAAAAUUAUCUGAACUCUGAAAGGCAAAGAUUAGAAAGAAAGUAGAUAUUCAGGGGAGAAGAGAGUCAAGAAGGAAGAGGUGGAUGGUGGAUGGGGAUGGUUAAGAAUAUCAAAGAAACUGACUUACAAAUUGACCCACAUGGUAAGCAGUGAAAGGAAAGAGCCCCUGGACUUUUCUGUAGGAUUCUAAAUCUACAGACAUAAGAAACUGUUUUAAUGAUAGGUGUGAAACUAUUUUUCUUUAAAUCUAAAGUUUGGAAUAGUUUCUGAAAUUUGGGGGGAUUUAUUUAUUUAUAUUUG